rnacentral:rRNA from 1 species
UACGUAGGGUGCAAGCGUUGUCCGGAAUUAUUGGGCGUAAAGAGCUUGUAGGCGGUUUGUCGCGUCUGCUGUGAAAUUUCGGGGCUCAACCCCGAACUUGCAGUGGGUACGGGCAGACUAGAGUGUGGUAGGGGAGACUGGAAUUCCUGGUGUAGCGGUGAAAUGCGCAGAUAUCAGGAGGAACACCGAUGGCGAAGGCAGGUCUCUGGGCCAUAACUGACGCUGAGGAGCGAAAGCAUGGGUAGCGAACAGG